GCAGUCGACGGGCAUAGCAAUAUGUCAGUGGCAGACGGGUGAGUAACGCGUGGGAACAUACCUCUUGGUUCGGAACAACACAGGGAAACUUGUGCUAAUACCGGAUAAGCCCUUACGGGGAAAGAUUUAUCGCCGAGAGAUUGGCCCGCGUCUGAUUAGUUAGUUGGUGUGGUAAAGGCGCACCAAGGCGACGAUCAGUAGCUGGUCUGAGAGGAUGAUCAGCCACAUUGGGACUGAGACACGGCCCAAACUCCUACGGGAGGCAGCAGUGGGGAAUAUUGGACAAUGGGCGCAAGCCUGAUCCAGCCAUGCCGCGUGAGUGAUGAAGGCCUUAGGGUUGUAAAGCUCUUUUGUACGGGAAGAUAAUGACGGUACCGUAAGAAUAAGCCCCGGCUAACUUCGUGCCAGCAGCCGCGGUAAUACGGAGGGUGCAAGCGUUGUCCGGAUUUAUUGGGUUUAAAGGGUGCGUAGGCGGCUUUUUAAGUCUGGGGUGAAAGCCCGUUGCUCAACAACGGAACUGCCCUGGAAACUGGAGAGCUUGAGUACAGACGAGGGUGGCGGAAUGGAUACUGUAGCGGUGAAAUGCAUAGAUAGUAUCCAGAACCCCGAUUGCGAAGGCAGCUGCCUAGACUGUAACUGACGCUGAGGCACGAAAGCGUGGGGAGCGAACAGGAUUAGAUACCCUGGUAGUCCACGCCGUAAACGAUGG
rnacentral:rRNA from 1 species